GGCUCAGGAUGAACGCUAGCGGCAGGCUUAAUACAUGCAAGUCGUGGGGCAGCAUGAGUAGCAAUACUUGAUGGCGACCGGCAAACGGGUGAGGAACACGUACACAACCUUCCUUCAAGCGGGGAAUAGCCCAGAGAAAUUUGGAUUAAUACCCCAUAAUAUAUUUGAUAAGGCAUCUUAUUAAUAUUAAAGCUUCGGCACUUGAUGAUGGGUGUGCGGCUGAUUAGAUAAUUGGCGGGGUAACGGCCCACCAAGUCUACGAUCAGUAGCUGAUGUGAGAGCAUGAUCAGCCACACGGGCACUGAGACACGGGCCCGACUCCUACGGGAGGCAGCAGUAAGGAAUAUUGGACAAUGGACGAAAGUCUGGUCCAGCCAUGCCGCGUGAAGGAUUAAGGUCCUCUGGAUUGUAAACUUCUUUUAUAUGGGACGAAAAAAGGGCAUUCUUGUUCACUUGACGGUACCAUAUGAAUAAGCACCGGCUAACUCCGUG
rnacentral:rRNA from 1 species